CAAAAGUCCAUGAAGAAGGGGGCACUUCUCAGCAACUCUGGAAACCAUCGGUAAGAACUGAACAAAAUUAUACUUCUUCAGAAUAAUUAAAAAGUACCAGCAGUUAACUUCCUCUUCAGGAAGGCGAAUGCAGACCGCCAUUACUGACUGCCUCUGGGACAUUCCUGUCAUCCUACCCCAACCUGCUGUCCUCAUGGGAACUUCCUGUAGACUGUCAUGACAGGUUACCAUCAGAUGAC